UACGUAGGGUGCGAGCGUUGUCCGGAAUUAUUGGGCGUAAAGAGCUUGUAGGCGGUUUGUCGCGUCUGCCGUGAAAAUCCGAGGCUCAACCUCGGACUUGCGGUGGGUACGGGCAGACUAGAGUGUGGUAGGGGAGACUGGAAUUCCUGGUGUAGCGGUGAAAUGCGCAGAUAUCAGGAGGAACACCGAUGGCGAAGGCAGGUCUCUGGGCCACUACUGACGCUGAGAAGCGAAAGCAUGGGGAGCGAAC
rnacentral:rRNA from 1 species